rnacentral:lncRNA from 1 species
UAGAUUUCUAUCAAUCUCAACCAGUGUUUUCUGGAUUCAUGGACAUGGAAAUUAGCAUAACAAAUCCAGCUCACAGUAAUGUGCACCUUGGCAGUUUUAAUGGAUAUGAGGCAAAAGGCUUUGGGAAAAUAAACGGAGCUCUAAAAGCUAUGUCUUUGAAAACACAUGACAAUCUAAAACAGUGCUGCUGUUAGGUUUACCAUCAAUCCUAGGCAACUAUUAAAGUUUUCCGAGAACAGUAACACCACCACCAUUGUGGAGUUACGGUUGCACUCCUACUUAAAAGAAUCCCAUAGUAUCAACUGCAAUAUCACACACUGCCACUGCGCCAUCCAUCUGCUG